GAUGAACGCUGGCGGCGUGCCUAAUACAUGCAAGUCGAGCGAACAGAUGAGGAGCUUGCUCCUCUGACGUUAGCGGCGGACGGGUGAGUAACACGUGGAUAACCUACCUAUAAGACUGGGAUAACUUCGGGAAACCGGAGCUAAUACCGGAUAUAUAUUGAACCGCAUGGUUCAAUAGUGAAAGACGGUUUUGCUGUCACUUAUAGAUGGAUCCGCGCCGCAUUAGCUAGUUGGUAAGGUAACGGCUUACCAAGGCAACGAUGCGUAGCCGACCUGAGAGGGUGAUCGGCCACACUGGAACGGAGACACGGUCCAGACUCCUACGGGAGGCAGCAGUAGGGAAUCUUCCGCAAUGGGCGAAAGCCUGACGGAGCAACGCCGCGUGAGUGAUGAAGGUCUUCGGAUCGUAAAACUCUGUUAUUAGGGAAGAACAAAUGUGUAAGUAACUAUGCACGUCUUGACGGUACCUAAUCAGAAAGCCACGGCUAACUACGUG
rnacentral:rRNA from 1 species